AUUGAACGCUGGCGGCAGGCCUAACACAUGCAAGUCGAGCGAGCGGCGGACGGGUGAGUAAUGUCUGGGAAACUGCCUGAUGGAGGGGGAUAACUACUGGAAACGGUAGCUAAUACCGCAUACCAUCAGAUGUGCCCAGAUGUGAUGAGCUAGUAGGUGGGGUAAUGGAUCACCUAGGUGACAAGCCAUAGCUGGUCUGAAGGGAUGACCAGCAACUCUGGAAAGAGGACACGGUCCAGAAUCGUACGGGAGGCAGCAGUGGGGAUUAUUGGACAAUGGGCGCAAGGCUGAUGCAGCCAAGGCGCGUGUGUGAAGAGGGCCUUCGGGUUGUAAAGCACUUUCAGCGGCGAGGCGUUACCCGCAGAAGAAGCACCGGCUAACUCCGUGCCAGCAGCCGCGGUAAUUC
rnacentral:rRNA from 1 species